AUCCAGAUGACGAGUCACAAAUGGGACGAAAUGCGCACCCUGGAU
rfam:Trichobilharzia regenti genome assembly, scaffold: TRE_scaffold0017184